rnacentral:rRNA from 1 species
AGCAGCCGCGGUAAUUCCAGCUCCAAUAGCGUAUAUUAAAGUUGUUGCGGUUAAAAAGCUCGUAGUUGAAUUUCGGGGUUAGUAGGUUGGUCAUGCCUCUGAUAUGUACUGGUCUCACUGAUUCCUCCUUCCUGAUGAACCGUAAUGCCAUUAAUUUGGUGUUGCGGGGAAUUUGGACUGUUACUUUGAAAAAAUUAGAGUGUUUAAAGCAGGCUAACGCUUGAAUACAUUAGCAUGGAAUAAUGAAAUAGGACGUUCGAUCUUAUUUUGUUGGUUUCUAGGAUUGACGUAAUGAUUAAUAGGGAUAGUUGGGGGCAUUAGUAUUCGAUUGUCAGAGGUGAAAUUCUUGGAUUUAUUGAAGACUAACUACUGCGAAAGCAUUUGCCAAGGAUGUUUUCAUUAAUCAAGAACGAAAGUUAGGGGAUCGAGGACGAUCAGAUACCGUCGUAGUCUUAACCAUAAACUAUGCCGACUAGGGAUCGGAUGAUGUUAAUUUUUAAUGACUCAUUCGGCGCCUUAA